AAUAUUAAGUAAAAUUUAUUAUUUAAAUACAAUUAAGGUUAUGUUAUUCAGAGAAAUAAAGAUUUAAUUUUAGGCUUGAAUAUAAAAAAUAAGAGACUUGACAUAUUAAUGAACCUCAAGAUUAGAAACUUGAGUAUAGAUUUAUGUUUGAUGAGUUUUUGGUCUAGGCUAUAUAUAGAGUAAUAUGAGUAUCUAUAGACUCAAUAACUUACAAAUUACGUAAAUUGCAUUGGUUGAAAGUGUUAAGAGGCAUUGAGGAAAGGCAACAUUGAAGAAGUAAUUUGCUUGACUUCGGUUCAUCGGUGACUGUAGGUUAUGAUUUAUUCUAUUUAAUAGAUAGGCUCUUAAUAGUGACAGAUAUUCAUUGAGUGCUAUCUUGAAGUUAUCGAUGUACUUGAUGGUGUGAUUGUGUAGCUUGGUUGUCUGAUUUGUGAUUGGUCUAAGAGUCCUGAGACCAUGAACUUAUAAUCUUGAAACUUCUCUAUCGAAGAGGCUUGAUGAACUGUUGUUAAUGAAGUGAAAGUGGUGAUAAGAAAUGAUAAUUUAAUAAAAUUAUUGAAUCACUAUCAUGUUCCGGUAUGACAUUAUUGGAUCAGAGUGUCACAUUUCAACACGGUAUUAUUGGAUCGGGGUGUCACGUUCUGACACAAAAUUAUUGGAUCACAAUACACAUCUCAAUAUGGUAUUAUUGGAUCGGGAUGUAACAUUCCAACACAGUAACUUUAAAGAAAAUCAUAUAUAAACAACGUAAUGUACUCAAUCUUAAAUAACUCAAUUCCUAAAUUCGCUUGGUUUGUGGGCAUGAGUCCUCAAUUAUGUUCUUGAUAGUGCUGAUUGGUUAUAUACAAACUUUAUUGUAGUUGUUAGUUUGUCAUGUUGUUUGUUGCUUUCCACCUGUUAAGUGUCAUAGUUGAUUUUAUACUAUCUAUUCAUUGCAUAUUAGUAUUUAUUUUAUACCUACUCAGUACAUCUAGCCUUGUAUUGAGCGCUACUUGUACUUUUCUUAUGUUUUAAUUUUCGUUUUGUGGAGUGCAACGAGUGUAUCAGAUCUUACUAGGUGGUUUCUUAUUUUAUAUGGUGCGUGUCAGUUUAACAAUGAUUCCAACCAGUAUAUGUUUUUUUGUAGUGAUACUACUUUUGCUAGGGCUUUUGAUAUAGUCUAGAUGUAGGUUGGUGACGUUUAAUUAGGUAAAAAUGAAGAGAUUCUUCAGCGUCUUCUACUUUUCCUUUUGCAUGUUGGGAGUUGUGUCUUUAUUUAUUCUCGUCUAGUUGUACUCUUAAUAGCUCUUGUACCUGUUUAGAUGGGAUCCUUAGGGUUGUUAAUUAUUUUAUAAGUUUUGAUAAAAAGUGUGUUUAAAGAUAUUAUUUAUAAAAUCAUAUUAUUAUAUUUAUCUCUGUUUCAUUAAAUUUUCUGCAUGUUAUAACUAUUGGGAUAUUACGAUUUUCCUACUUAGUUUUUACAGUGGGUGUCAGCACGGCCUGGAGGGUCCAGCCGUGAUAAUUUCAUAGAGUGAUUGGAUGUGGAUUUUUUGACUUACUAAUUUUGGGAGAUGUGAAAAUGUGGUGGUAGUCUUGUGUUGAGUCCUACCGGUGUAUGACUUGGCUAGCAUUUUCUAUCUUUUUGAUGGAGAAGUAUAUACUCUUGAAUUUGAGGAAUUAGGAUGUAGAGGGAGUGAAGCCAUAUGACUUUACCAAUGUGACAACAUUCAAGAAGUUUCGUAAGGAAUGACUAGAUAAUGAACACCAUUACUUUGGAAAAUACAAUUAGUAAAGUUAUCAUAACAUAUAUUGGUUGUCUAGAGAAUGAUGAAAUUAUGUUGAGGCAAUUGAGGGCAGGAUCUCUAUUAUUGUUUCAUUCAGCAUAUAUCAAAAGGUCAUCAUACGACUACUACAAUAAUAUCGAUAUUUUCUUGGUUAAAGUUGUGAUGUGUGUUAGUUUUGUUAUCGACCUAAUAUAAUGAUGAAUUUAUUAAUGUUUUAGAUCUAUUCAAUGGAUCUAAAUGUGUUAGUUAUUAGUGUACAAUCUUCUCGAUAGGUAUAAUGUGUUCUAAUGAUGUAUAUAACAAGAUUUCAUGGUUCAUAUAGUGUUAUGUGGAAACGAAUAUGUCGAGUGUAAUGUGUGAAUACUAACUACUUCAGGAGUACCACUUAUAUGACGUGUUCAAAUAAUGAGGUCAGUGUUGCAUUCAUAUUUGAGAAAUCAACUAGUUUUUUACUACAUACGCUUGAGUUAAGGUUUAUUUUAAAGAAAGAUUUUAGUGAUGGAUAGUUGGCACAAUAUUAAUGUAUUUUGGUUGUGAAGUGUAUCCGGGGGAUCCUAAAUGAGGACUAGGAAUUUCAUCAUAAAUUGCAAAUGAGUGGAUUGAUAUCGUAAUGCUAAUGUUAUGGGUAACAGAAGUCAGUAUAAUAGUGUGAAGGUAUUGAGGAUUUUAGUAAUGAAGUGCAUAUAAAAUUGUAUUAGCUUUUGAUAUUUGGGUGGUACAAGUGUGUUUAAGGUGUCAUGUCGGUAAUAAGAUUGACUUCGUGAUGAUGACAAUGAUUACCGAGCAUAACAGUUAUAAGAUUUUUGAUAAUUUAUGACUUGGAUGCGACUAUAUAAUAAAUUUUUUUUGGCUAAACGACUUAAGUAUAUUAAUGACAACCUGCAGUUAUUUAAAGUUGGCGUUUACCACCAAUUGGUGGUGGUGUGGUCGUACAAAAAGUUAUAGAAUGUUUUGAAACAUCGGUCAAAUAGAAUUGAAAGGAGUAAGAGUUACAAAUGGAAAUAAUUAGUGGGAUGUAGUUUAACUUUUAUAAAUACGAGGGAAUAAGAAUGUUUACUUUGAUUACAAGGGCCAAAGAUUUAUCUUAUGAAAGAAUGGAUAAUUGAAUUCACAAACACAUGGCUCCAUCCGUUUUGCCAAGAUUAUUGUGAUAAUUUUACAUGUUAUUCAUAAACAUUGAAAAUUGUUGGAUAAGAUUUGAGAAAGAAGUCUACACAUGUUAGACUUGAGUGUGGUGAUAAGCUCUUUCAUGAUUAUGAGUUUCGUAACUGGUAUGCUGAAAUUUUUAGCAAAGGAUACCGUAAGAUCGAUGCAGAGGCGAUCAAUUAUAAGCUAAGUUACCAAUCCAUAAGGAUAUUCAAAGCAUGAGCUAAUGUUGAUAGAUAACGGGAUGGAAUUACACAAUUUGGAUCAAAUAUCAAGUUUUUCAUUGUGAGUCUAUAUUUGAGGCAGUAUGUGUUGUCAAGAUAUGGGCUAGUAAAGUAAGAAAUGAUUGAUCACAUUGAAUAUCUAGCAUUUUAAAGGACACGUGUAUAAUUUGAGUAAAAAAUUUGAUUACUUUUGAUUGUUAAAGGACUUAAGGAGGGUUUGAUGUAAUUUUUUGGUUUAGAUGCUAAAAAUGAAGGGUAUUUGGCCUAACAAUAGGAUUGGUAAGUGAGUCAGCAAUAAGGAAAAGUGUUUGGUGUAUUGAAAAAUUUAAGAUAUUUAGAAUUCUGUGUCAUGGAAUUUUUUUAAAAGAAAAGUGAAGGAAUAAAUGGAAAUUUUUGACAUGGACUCUUUGGAGGAAGCAUUUAGUAUUAUUCAAUCUUGGUUCUAUGCAUUCUUAUGUGACCACCUAUUUUCAUCAUGUAGAUGCGUUGGAGUAUGAUUCACUAGCUAUGUACACACAUACUUUGACUUUUGUGGGUGGAUCCCUAGUUGUGGGUCGAAUGAAUGUUUUAGCCGACUUGAUUAUCUCAAAUAACAUAUGUAGUGUUGUCAUUAGGUUUAUGGAGUAUUCCAGUUGUUCUAUAUGUUUCACCUUACUUAUGAGAAUUUAUAAAAGAGCUACCAUGAGUAUUUACAGUUGUCCGACAUAGAGUGACCAUGUAUUCUCUUAGUUUUAGCGUGAUUUAUGCAAUGGUUUGGAAUGGUAGUUUAAAUAUGGUAUGUUUAAGUUUGCGUGGAGUUGAUUAUGGGUGAGAUUUAAUAAUUUUAUCUUGAUGAAAAAGUACUAGCAGAUUUGAAAAAUUAGUGCAUCAUCUGUAGGUGAAACUUGUAUCUGUCAUGGAAUGCUUACAUGGAAAGAGAAGGAGUCAUAGUUCAAAAUUUUUAGAGGCGACAAUGUGGUUGCUAGGAAGACAUUGAUAAUAGUGACGAUUUGAAAGUGUCGACUUUAGUAGGAUGCUGUGAAGGAUAUGCUAAGUCUGAUAAAUAGAGUAUAUGUAUGUCUGUUUUGAGGACAAGGUCGGUGGAUUGCGGGGAGCUAAAACUCACAGGUAUAGGGUUAGCUCGUGAAAGUUAAUGUAUGAAAAGAAAAUCAUAAUAAGAUCUAUGAUGAUUUGUGCGUCAUGAUUGUGUUGUGGUUGGUUCAGGUUAACUCCUUAUUGUAGCUAAUAUUGAUUCAGAAUUUUAUUAUGGAUAUGGUAGAAAAUAUUUGUCAUAUGGUUGUGCUAAGGUCUUAUGGAAGACUCGGUAAUUGAAGAGUCCAUUUGGGAAUAGUUAUGUUAUUAGUUGAGUUUACAUACAAUAAUAAGUUGUCAUUAAAGUAUUGAGAUGGCUCCAUUUGAGUCAUUGUAUGGGAGGGUGUAGAUGUCCAAUUGGUUGGUGUGAUACUUUUGAGAUGAAGUCUUGGUACUAAUAUUUGGAAGGAAUCACUAAGACAUCUACCUUUUCAUCCUUGUCCUUCUUUUGAUCGUUUGAGGACGAACGAUUGAUAUUUUGGUAUAUAAUGUAACGACCCAUUUGAUCAUUUUGAGUAUAGAAUUUUUUAUUUAUAAAAUACUUCCGUUAAAUUUUAAAUGGAUAUUUUGGAUUAUUCGUAACUACAAUUACAGAGUUAAUGUGAUAGUUUUAAAAUUUAUUUAGUUGGUGCUUAAAGAAAAUAAAAUGACAUUAAAAUUAAUAGUGGGUCAUUUUUACCACAUCUUAUAAUUGGUCAUUUAAAAUAAUUAGGUAAAGAAAUAAUUUGUAAACAAAGAAGAAAGAAUAAGCGGAAGAGGAGAACAACAAAAAAGCGGCGUCGAACGAAAACAAAAUUGACGCGGCUAAGUUUUCGCCUAAAAAUAUUCAUCCAAGGUAUUGAAUAUUUUUAAUACAUAUUAACAGGGGCGGAUUUAUGUUAGAGCAAGGGGUUCUUCCGAACCCCCAUCACCGAAAAAUUACACUAUAUAUACGGUUAAAUUUUUAAUUUAUAUGUAUAUAUAUAAUGUUGAACCCUCUUAAUGUACACCAAAGGCGUAGCUUAGUGGCUUUGGGGGUUCAAGAUUUCUCGCUGGAGAAAGUGAGGUUGCGUGUCCGAGCCCCAACCAAGCGAGUGUACCAAUGACUUUGAAUCUCUCUCGGCUCUAUCAAGUUCUCCAACAUCAGGUUCCAGGGUGAGUUAAUCAUUCGAUCUCAUAUUGGAUUCUCUCGGUCAUGACAUGAUGUCCUUAGUUUCGGAUACAACCUAACUGGUUCUUUAUUUUGGUGUCCUUAGACUUAGUAUUUGGAGAUUAGAUAUCCUUGAUGUGAUGACUUUCAGGUUUUGGAAAUUACAUUUAGUAGACUUUAAUUGAUUUGUGUUUCUAACAUUAGAUUUAAGCUUCCGUAUCAUGGUUAGUAUUUUGUAAAUUGAAUGAUAAAUAUAAGUUGGGGUUAAAUUCA